GGCUUAAAGGGUGCGCAGGCGGACCGGUAGGUGUGCUGUGAAAUACCUCGGCUCAACCGAGGAAUUGCGGUGCAAACCACCGGUCUUGAGGUAGGUAGAGGCCGUCGGAACGUUCGGUGGAGCGGUGAAAUGCGUAGAUAUCGAACGGAACGCCAAAGGUGAAGACAGGCGGCUGGGCCUAACCUGACGCUCAGGCACGAAAGCGUGGGGAUCAAACAGGAUUAGAUACCCUGGUAGUCACGCCGUAAACGAUGUGCACUAGAUCGAUGCAGGUCUGACCCUGUGUCGGUCGGAGAGAAAUUGUUAAGUGCACCGCCUGGGGAGUACGGUCGCAAGGCUAAAACUCAAAGGAAUUGACGGGGGCUCACACAAGCGGUGGAGCAUGUUGCUUAAUUCGAAGCAACGCGAAGAACCUUACCUGGGUUUGACAUGCACGGAUUAGCUCUUGGAAACAGGAGUAACGCCCUCGGGUGGAACGUGCACAGGUGCUGCAUGGCUGUCGUCAGCUCGUGCUGUGAAGUGUCGGGUUAAGUCCCUUAACGAGCGCAACCCUUGUCGCUAGUUGCCAGCGAGUCAUGUCGGGGACUCUAGCGAGACUGCCGGUGUCAAACCGGAGGAAGGUGGGGAUGACGUCAAGUCCGCAUGGCCCUUAUGUCCAGGGAUGCAAACGUGCUACAAUGGCCUGUACAAAGCGAAGCAAGACCGCGAGGUGGAGCAAAUCGCAAAAAGCAGGCCCCAGUUCGGAUUGCAGUCUGCAACUCGACUGCAUGAAGUCGGAAUCGCUAGUA
rnacentral:rRNA from 1 species